GAUGAACGCUGGCGGCGUGCCUAAUACAUGCAAGUCGAGCGAACGGACGAGAAGCUUGCUUCUCUGAUGUUAGCGGCGGACGGGUGAGUAACACGUGGAUAACCUACCUAUAAGACUGGGAUAACUUCGGGAAACCGGAGCUAAUACCGGAUGAUAUUUUGAACCGCAUGGUUCAAAAGUGAAAGACGGUCUUGCUGUCACUUAUAGAUGGAUCCGCGCUGCAUUAGCUAGUUGGUAAGGUAACGGCUUACCAAGGCAACGAUGCAUAGCCGACCUGAGAGGGUGAUCGGCCACACUGGAACGGAGACACGGUCCAGACUCCUACGGGAGGCAGCAGUAGGGAAUCUUCCGCAAUGGGCGAAAGCCUGACGGAGCAACGCCGCGUGAGUGAUGAAGGUCUUCGGAUCGUAAAACUCUGUUAUUAGGGAAGAACAUAUGUGUAAGUAACUGUGCACAUCUUGACGGUACCUAAUCAGAAAGCCACGGCUAACUACGUG
rnacentral:rRNA from 1 species